GUGAGGAAUAUUGGUCAAUGGGCGCGAGCCUGAACCAGCCAAGUCGCGUGAGGGAAGAAUGGUCCAUGGCCUGUAAACCUCUUUUGUCAAGGAAGAAUAGACGGCACGCGUGCUGUUUUGCCAGUACUUGACGAAUAAGCAUCGGCUAACUCCGUGCCAGCAGCCGCGGUAAUACGGGGGAUGCGAGCGUUAUCCGGAUUUAUUGGGUUUAAAGGGCGCGUAGGCGGGACGCCAAGUCAGCGGUAAAAGACUGCAGCUAAACUGUAGCACGCCGUUGAAACUGGCGACCUUGAGACGAGACGAGGGAGGCGGAACAAGUGAAGUAGCGGUGAAAUGCUUAGAUAUCACUUGGAACCCCGAUAGCGAAGGCAGCUUCCCAGGCUCGAUCUGACGCUGAUGCGCGAGAGCGUGGGUAGCGAACAGGAUUAGAAACCCUUGUAGUCC
rnacentral:rRNA from 1 species